CCAGUGAUCAUAUUUUUAAUUAUAAAUCUUCAUCAAGUUAAUAACAGAGAAGAGCCAGAGCCUGGGCAGUCAAAGACCGGAAUGUACUGUGGCAAUGUCCUCUGAGGAUGGGGUGCCAUUCCCCUGCGAACACGGAGCCUCUGCGCACCCUGCAGGGCCACUUUCCCAUGGAUAAUUGACGGCCGGGUCAAAGUCCAACCACGCAGACAAACAGGUCUCCCUCUCACCCGCCUGGGUCAGAAUAGCCUAUUAUGUCACUGAGAACCACAGGCCAGUGCUGGAGCGAUGUUGAUCCACCAGCAGUGACCUCAUCUCCUCGGGUUACAAUUUCAGGGUGG
rnacentral:lncRNA from 1 species